CAUCACACAAAUACACACACUCAGCACACACAACACUCUCACUCUCCCUCUCGGCUCUCUCUCUCGCCUCUCUUACUCUCACUCGGCUGAGGGCGGCACCGCCUCCGGCGCGCCGCCUCGCCGGACGUCUCCCCUCUCCCUCUCACUCUCAUCGCUCUGUCUCGCCGGAAGUCAGCCGCACGCCGCCGCCUUCGCGUGCCACUGCCGCCUCCGCCGUGGCCAAGCACGGCGCCGCCUGGUCGUCCCCAGCCUUGGAACAGGGUGACAGAGGCCUCUCCGCCGCUGCAUGUGCCUUCUCCGGCCGUUGUGAAAAGCCGAGCGUCGCCGCGCCGCUUCCCCCGUUCUCCGCCGUCUCCGCCAUGGCCGGAAUCGUGGUGGAUGGCCGAGCCUUGCCUCGCCGUGAAGAACCGCCGUUCGUGUCGCUGCGCCGCUGUUUCCGCCGCGUCGCCGGAAAAGAUAAGUCUCUCCCCCUUUUUCCCGUAUCUCUCUCUCUUUUUUUUUAUUUUUACAGAAGCCCUAACCAUCUCUCUCUCUACCCUCUUCUCUCUCGUUUUGGCAGGACAAGGGCUAGCGGCUGUGCCGCCGCCGCCGUCGCCGACCGUGAGCAGCCCCCGGCUGCUCUCACCUCUUUCCCCAUUUUCGGACAUACACAGAAGGCAAAGACACAAGAACCCCCAAAUUUUUCAGUCCAGAUUCAAAAUAUAGAACAAGUUAGGGUUUUAAAAAUCUGUUCUUUCAUCAUUCAUUUCCUUUUUAUUAAAACUGAUUGUACAUGUAAUAGAUUAGAGAAUAUAGUAAAAUGUGUGCGUGUGUAUUAUUCUGUUGGUGGUUCUCUGAUGGUGAUAAGCUGAUGUAAUUGAAACAAUAAUAGUCUAAAAGAAGUGGUAAUGGAUGCGUGUGUUCGAUCUGUUUUCAUUUGAAUCAUAGUUUUGUAAUUUAACAAAUGAAUGUAUGGAGAAAGUAAAGUAGGAGGUAACCUUGAUAAUUUUCUGAACUCACAAAGUUUGAUCUGCGAAUCAACAAUUUAACAAUGAAUUUGGAUCUGAAUCUGCUUGAUUACUGGAAUUUGGAAACAUAAACAUAGUUAAAAUGGAGGGUUGUAUCCCCAAGGAAGAAGAAGAGAAUUGGUUGGAACACUUACCUCUGCACUUUAAACUUUGUUGGGUGUGUUGAAAAGAGAAGGAAAGAGCGGAUGAACUAAUAGAAGGAAACUUAGCUUUUAAAACUUGGCUUUUGUCUAAUUGAAAUGGCAGAGGAUUGAUGAUAAGAUUUUGAUUAAAUAAAAGCUAAUUGCAUGUUGAGAUGUUAAAGGUGUAGAAGAUGGCUGGCAAAAGAAAGUGUAAAGAGUGUUUAGUGGAAUGAUGAGUGUGUGGAAUAAUGAGUGUUUAGUGGAAUGAUGAGUGUUUAGUGGGAUGGUUGGCAUAUGAUGAGUGUUUCCAACACCAUCAAUUUAUUUAAGAGUAAGAUGGAUGUGGAAAUGUGUAGGUGCUAGAUGAAUGUGAUGAAUAAAAUUCUUAUUCUGUA